UAGGGAAUCUUCCGCAAUGGGCGAAAGCCUGACGGAGCAACGCCGCGUGAGUGAUGAAGGUCUUCGGAUCGUAAAACUCUGUUAUUAGGGAAGAACAAAUGUGUAAGUAACUAUCCACGUCUUGACGGUACCUAAUCAGAAAGCCACGGCUAACUACGUGCCAGCAGCCGCGGUAAUACGUAGGUGGCAAGCGUUAUCCGGAAUUAUUGGGCGUAAAGCGCGCGUAGGCGGUUUUUUAAGUCUGAUGUGAAAGCCCACGGCUCAACCGUGGAGGGUCAUUGGAAACUGGAAAACUUGAGUGCAGAAGAGGAAAGUGGAAUUCCAUGUGUAGCGGUGAAAUGCGCAGAGAUAUGGAGGAACACCAGUGGCGAAGGCGACUUUCUGGUCUGUAACUGACGCUGAUGUGCGAAAGCGUGGGGAUCAAACAGG
rnacentral:rRNA from 1 species